UCUUCAUCGACAUCGCUUUAUCAAUUUGCUGUCGGUGAGCAACCAAGGAACGAAUGGAUACCUGAUCUAUCAUGAAGAGGUGAAUGGAGAAGGAUGCUGCGGGUUCUGUAUGCGGACAUGUUCACGUCAAUCAAGUGUUGAAAUCGCAGCUUACACUUUAGAAACAGGCGAUGUGAAGACUUUUCCGCAGCGGAAUCAGCAAUAACAGAAUAUACAACAACAAUAGUCGGUCCUCAUAAUCAGCAUCCUCGUAAUUAAUCACAAUACAACGUUUCUUCACCACUUACUCGCCUGCAAAGCGCAUCCCCAGCAGGGAGGCCGAUUCCCUCCACGAAGCUCGGCAGGCAUGGCUGAAUCACUACUCGAGCCUGACGCGCCUGGCACUGGCCCACCUGCAGUCCUCAGGAAGCAGACAAUAUAAACACCGGCGUUGGACCACGUAAAUUGCACGUAGAGUAUAAACCGCACAACGUUCUAUGUGCGGUGAACACUGUCUUGGAACAAUAGUCCACCACUAUUACCUUACAGUAAUUACAUUGUCGCCCUCCUACUUCCUAGUAUGAGCAAUGGCUUCUGCUCGUGCGGCGCCCGGUGAUUGGAUUACCUGUCGCCUGGCGGAAAUUGCCAUUAAAUUGGCAUGUCAUUACCUGCUGAUGAGCGGCCCAGACAGAGCGGCCACCUGAGAGUGGCGAGGGUUAUCUCAAGGUGUGGUGCACAUGGUGUGCUGAAUGUAGUAGUGCUGCCGUCUCUGUCUUGACAGCGCUAAUCGGCUAGACCUGGAUGUGGAGCUGAG
rnacentral:lncRNA from 1 species